GACGAACGCUGGCGGCGUGCCUAAUACAUGCAAGUCGAGCGGACGGAUGGGAGCUUGCUCCCAGACCGUCAGCGGCGGACGGGUGAGUAACACGUGGGCAACCUGCCUGUAAGACUGGGAUAACUCCGGGAAACCGGGGCUAAUACCGGAUAACUCCUUCCCCCACAUGAGGGAAAGCUGAAAGAUGGCAUCUCGCUAUCACUUACAGAUGGGCCCGCGGCGCAUUAGCUAGUUGGUGAGGUAACGGCUCACCAAGGCGACGAUGCGUAGCCGACCUGAGAGGGUGAUCGGCCACACUGGGACUGAGACACGGCCCAGACUCCUACGGGAGGCAGCAGUAGGGAAUCUUCCGCAAAGGACGAAAGUCUGACGGAGCAACGCCGCGUGAGUGAUGAAGGUUUUCGGAUCGUAAAACUCUGUUGUCAGGGAAGAACAAGUACCGGAGUAACUGCCGGUACCUUGACGGUACCUGACCAGAAAGCCACGGCUAACUACGUG
rnacentral:rRNA from 1 species